rnacentral:rRNA from 1 species
UACAGAGGUCCCAAGCGUUGUUCGGAUUCACUGGGCGUAAAGGGCGCGUAGGCGGCUCUGCACGUUCGUUGUGAAAUCGCCCGGCUCAACUGGGCGGGGUCAGCGGAUACGGCAGAGCUUGAGCAAGCUAGGGGGCAAUGGAAUUCCCGGUGUAGUGGUGGAAUGCGUAGAUAUCGGGAGGAACACCAGUGGCGAAGGCGGUUGCCUGGGGCUUUGCUGACGCUGAUGCGCGAAAGCGUGGGGAGCGAUCCGG